rnacentral:rRNA from 1 species
GUACAAAGGUAGCAUAAUAAAUUGUUUUUUAAUUAAAGACUGGAAUGAAGGAAUUGAUGAGAUUUAAACUUUCUAAAAUUUAAAAUUUAAAUUUUUUUAUUAAGUAAAAAGACUUAGAUUUAUUUAUGGGACGAGAAGACCCUAUAGAAUUUUAUAUAAUUUAAUUAAAAUUUUUGAUUAUAUUAUAUUUAGUUGGGAGGACUAUUAAAUUUUAACUUUAAUAUAUUUUAUACUUUGAUAAAAGGAAUUUAAUAAAUUAAUAAUUAUUAAUUAAUGUAAAAUUAAUUACCUUAGGGAUAACAGCAUAAUAUUUUUUCCAGAUCCUAUAUAAAAUAUCUUUAUGACCUCGAUGUGAACAAGAUAAAAUUAAAAGUAGAAUCUCAAUCUCUCUC